GACAGAGGGUGCAAACGUUGUUCGGAGUUACUGGGCGUAAAGGGUGCGUAGGCGGCGCGGUAAGUCGGGUGUGAAAUCUCGGAGCUUAACUUCGAAACUGCAUUCGAUACUGCCGUGCUUGAGGACUGGAGAGGAGACUGGAAUUUACGGUGUAGCGGUGAAAUGCGUAGAUAUCGUAAGGAAGACCAGUGGCGAAGGCGGGUCUCUGGACAGUUCCUGACGCUGAGGCACGAAGGCCAGGGGAGCAAACGGG
rnacentral:rRNA from 1 species